rnacentral:rRNA from 1 species
GUGGACGCUGGCGGUAGGCCUAACACCUGCAAGUCGAACGGCAGCACAGUAAGAGCUUGCUCUUACGGGUGGCGAGUGGCGGACGGGUGAGGAAUACAUCGGAAUCUACUUUUUCGUGGGGGAUAACGUAGGGAAACUUACGCUAAUACCGCAUACGACCUACGGGUGAAAGCAGGGGAUCUUCGGACCUUGCGCGAUUGAAUGAGCCGAUGUCGGAUUAGCUAGUUGGCGGGGUAAAGGCCCACCAAGGCGACGAUCCGUAGCUGGUCUGAGAGGAUGAUCAGCCACACUGGAACUGAGACACGGUCCAGACUCCUACGGGAGGCAGCAGUGGGGAAUAUUGGACAAUGGGCGCAAGCCUGAUCCAGCCAUACCGCGUGGGUGAAGAAGGCCUUCGGGUUGUAAAGCCCUUUUGUUGGGAAAGAAAAGCAGCAGGUUAAUACCCCGCUGUUCUGACGGUACCCAAAGAAUAAGCACCGGCUAACUUCGUG